UUCCGCUGGACGAGGUACAUGCCUCGUCCAGCGGAAGGGUUUCCUUCCGAUGGACGAGGUACAUGUACCUCGUCCAAGCGGAAGGCUUUCCUUCCGAUGGACGAGGUACAUGCCUCGUCCAGCGGAAGGGUUUCCUUCCGAUGGACGAGGUACAUGUACCUCGUCCAAGCGGAA
rnacentral:miRNA from 1 species